rnacentral:piRNA from 1 species
UAAAGUAUUCUUAGUUUGUGACCGA